rnacentral:rRNA from 1 species
GAUGAACGCUCGCUACAGGCUUAACACAUGCAAGUCGAGGGGAAACGACAUCGAAAGCUUGCUUUUGAUGGGCGUCGACCGGCGCACGGGUGAGUAACGCGUAUCCAACCUGCCCAUCACUUGGGGAUAACCUUGCGAAAGUAAGACUAAUACCCAAUGAUAUCUCUAGAAGACAUCUGAAAGAGAUUAAAGAUUUAUCGGUGAUGGAUGGGGAUGCGUCUGAUUAGCUUGUUGGCGGGGUAACGGCCCACCAAGGCAACGAUCAGUAGGGGUUCUGAGAGGAAGGUCCCCCACAUUGGAACUGAGACACGGUCCAAGCUCCUACGGGAGGCAGCAGUGGGGAAUAUUGGUCGAUGGGCGAGGGCCUGAACCAGCCAAGUAGCGUGCAGGAAGACGGCCCUAUGGGUUGUAAACUGCUUUUAUAAGGGAAUAAAGUGAGAGUCGUGACUCUUUUUGUAUGUACCUUAUGAAUAAGGACCGGCUAAUUCCGUG